rnacentral:misc_RNA from 1 species
CAUUUUCGUAUUUCUUUUCCUCGUCGCGGAUUAUUUCGGCCCAGGGUGUUGGCCGCGAAACGAGCUUUCCGAAAAGUACUCACGGGCCCCGUGACUCCAUCGGGAUCGAAAGUUAGGCUCGUGAACGUAAAGACGGGCGAAAUCUGUUUGCCAAGCAAUUCCCGUUUCCGUAUUUCGUCGUAUGUAAGUAUUAUUCCGUUAAUUGAGUGGCUCAAAGGGCGGAAGUUGAACACUCUAGACUUCGCUCGAGAAGAGAAAUGGAGUCGCUUCAAGUAAAUUUGCUUUGCAUAACAUGAC